AGGCGCGGACCCACCUGUGAGACCCUGAGGCGGGCGCUUCCCUGAGUGUGGGUCGCGCAGGCAUCGGCCCUGCGUGGCUGAGCUGAGAGAUGUUUGUGUGGCGUGCUGCGGAUAUUGGACCUAGAGUCCCUUGAGCUCCUCUCCCUCUAUACCAUGUCGUCCCCUGACAGACUUGGUCAGUGGUGCCUUUCCCCCACUUGCUCCAAGCCUUCUAGAGCAGAAGAUAGGAAUUCUGAAGCCCAAGGAAAGGAGUCCUGACUUUGGGAAGGAGGAGAGGACAGUGGAGCGAGACCCUGGAACAAGGGAUGGUUGCCUGUGUUGAUGGCUGUUCUGCAUGUACCAAGCACUGUGUUGAUGGCUUUACAUUGCUGUUAUCACAAAUACUUCCUCACUGCCUACCUUGCACUGGGCAAGGUUUAUUACCGAGGACACAGCUGUGAACAAGAUUUCCUUAGCCAACUUCAAGCUGGACACUGCACAGCUGAAUCCCCUGGAGCACUGGAGCUGGACGCUAAUGAAGUCACCACUGAAAUCUUGGGAAUCUUCGAAGAAGACAGAGAAGCCGAGAGGCAGCAUCUGAGGUCACCAACCAGGGCCAUCAGCCCACAGGUCACAGCCUCCAGCAGGCAAGGGACUUGUGUGGCUUGUGACUCAGUGUUGGAGAUAAUUGCACAGAGACCUGUUUCCCUUUUCUUCUUAUCCAUUUAUCUGCAACACUGAAACUCCCACCCUCUUUUGCAUAAUACAUGCAACGAGGGAAGCUGUCCCUAUCAUCACAUGCUUGUGAACUGCCGUAUGGGUCAGCUUCUCACUGUGUCCGGCUGUCUGGCUGCCGUUCCUAGGGGUACAGCAUCCCCACUGUGACCCUGCUGAGAUUCCAUCUUGGGGUUAUGGGUUCUUAUGUGCUGGUCACAGAUGAACGACUUCACAUACUAGGCUGUGCUGAUCUUUUUACCACUCACCCAAAAAUAGGCAAAAGACACAUCCAAGAGGCCCCUUGCUGAGUCAGCUAAGCUGCUGGUGAGGGGGAUGUGGGGAGUCCCUGCAGGGGCCUGGCCUUGGUCCUCACGUUGAGCCCUAGGCUCCAACAGCUGGGGCGAGUGGAUGUGGUAUAAGCACUCCAACCCCCAGUGCAACCUCAUCAGCCAUCUCUUUCGGUUGCCAUUUCAAAACCCUAGUAUAAUUUUCACUGCUGUGUGGUGGUAUUUAAUUUUACCAAAGUAUGACAAACUCGCAAAUACAUUCCCUUUGGGGCUUUUCUCACUCCUCCUCCCACUUUAAAACAUAACACAUUUCAAACAAACCGUAAAUUCUUCCCCUUUCAACUCCUGUCCAUGUCUUUCCCUUUGGGCUGCUUUAUGUUUCUUCCUAUCACCUUCUGACAUGAUGUGAUGAUGUCUGAUGUUACAUCUGACUCUCCGGGUGCUGCCGGCAGUGGCAGCUUCAGGGGGACAGAGGCUUUGCAAGUCUUUUGCUGCUUCCUUCCCUGUGUCUAGAAUAGCGAGUUGUCUGGUGCCUUGUAGGAACUCAAUCAAGAUUUGGUGAAUAGUGGCACUAAGCCAUUCACUAAAUAUUAAAUUAUUGGACAACCUAUGAUAUGUGUUGAGUACUGUAGAGGACAUAAAUAAUGGCCAGAUGGCUACCAUUGAUGGACGGCUGGGUGCAGAGGCCAUGGGACAUCUCCACAUCUGUUCUACAUUGAACCAGGGAGCAGUGGGAUGUGGGUCAGAAAGCUGGGCUCCAGUGACCAACUGCCUGGGUUCAUUUCUGGCCGCAGCACUUGGUAGAUCUGUGACCUUGGGCAAGUUGUUUAGGUUCCCUCUGUGUCAGUUUCCACAUUUCUAAAUGGGGAUAAUAGGAGUACCCAUCUCAUUGGGAUAUUGCCCAGAUUAAAUGAGGUCACGCAUGUCAAGCACUCAGACACCCUGCAGGACACAGCCUGGAUGAAGGCAGCAGUCACUAAACGCUUCAGCAGCUGAUGAAGCAGGAACCAUUAGGAUGCCAAUUAGCAGAUGAGGAAAUGAAAGAAGCUCGCCAAAGUACUCAGCUGGUAAGCAUACGGGGCCUCAGAGGAGACCCAUCCUGCCCUCCAGAAGCUUACAGUUCAGCCUGGAAGAGGAGACAAUUGCACAGAUAAUGAUGCUAUGCAGUGCACUUUACAAAAACGUCAAAUGCAGACAAGGUGCUUCAAUUCCACCACUCAGAUCCCUUUUCUUACAGAAGGACCAGCUCCAGGCCCUAUAUACCCCAGUGACUUCCAAACACCUUGAACCAACUCUCCUGCCAUUUCAAGGGAAUCUUCAGUUAUGCAAGGAUGUGGGCUGGGAUGGGACCUCAGUGUCAUGUAGUGUUCAACAUUUUACACAAAUAGCAGGAUUUUUGAAGAGUGUUGUGUGAGUAGAAAAAGCUUCAAUAAUAUAUAUCACAAACCGGUAGCAUUCCCAGUGAUGGUUGAGGGUGGGCAUGUGGUUCCAAUUAAUUAACAGGCUAAAUUCAUGAUGGGACUUAUUAGUGCCCUGUAGCAAAUGUCCAUACAUUGACUGCAUAUUUCUGCUGUAAGAGUGCUGAGCCUGGGGACCCAGGACACAGACAGUGUGGCUCCCAUGAGCUUCCUAUUCCUUAAGCCAAACUGCUCCUUGCAAGGCGAGGCUGUUUGCUGCAACCUCACCUAAGGGAAGCUCCAUUCCUUGCAUAGCAAGAUGAAACUUGCCUUAGAUUGAAGGCCCAUUAGGGAUAGUCAUUAACUGGUCCUUGCUUUGAACCUUGCCAAUGGUGGUAAAUAUUCUUUAAAACAGGCUGAGCAGGCAGGCAUUUCAUUGGGGUGGGCCCUGUUUGAGGAAUUAAGUCAUCGACUAACAGAGUCUGCAAAUAACCUCACAGCGACUUCCAAGGAGCAGGCCAAGGUCUGGUAGCCUCUUUAGUGCUCAAGGUCACCCGUAGCUAUGAGCAUCAGUGGUAGACUUAGGCUGUGUACUGCGGAGAGAAGGUAAAGAUUUGCAAUAGUAGUCAAUGUUAAUGAGUCCUCCCUAUGGGCCAGGCACACGUGCAUGACUUAAACUCUUCAUGAAUAGGAAUUAUUAUUAUUAGUUUUGAGAUGAAGUCUCACUCUGUCAUUCAGGCUGGAGUGCAGAGGUGCCAUCUCAGCUCACUGCAACCUCUGCCUCCCAUGUUCAAGUGAUUCUUGUGCCUCAGCCUCCUGAGUAGCUGGGAUUACAGGCACCUGCCACCACACCUGGCUGAUUUUUGUAUUUUUAGUAGAAAUGGGGUUUCAGCAUAUUGGCCAGGCUGGUUUUGAACUCCUGACCUCAAGUAAUCUGCCCGCCUCUGCCUCCCAAAGUGCUGGGAUUACAGGCAUGAGCCACCAUGCCCGACCAUGAGUAGGAAUUGUUAUCCCCAUUUAUGGAAAAAAGUCUGAGUCUCAGAGAGGUUAAGAAAUCUGCUUAGGUCACGCAGCUGGAAUACUUGAUGUCUGAUGUUUAUGGUGUCUUGGAUGUCUGGCUCUACAUUGUACACUCAGAUUCAACUUGUCUGCAAGUCUCCGUCAAGAGAGAAGACAGGCUCUACAGAGAAGAAGAGGGGGAAGAAUGUAAGGGGAGAGGAGGAGGAGAGGAAGAAGAAAGAGUAGCAGGUGUUGGGGAGUGAAUUUGGGCAGCUGUGAUGAUUUGCCCCAGGCCCCCCAAAGGAGCCUGACUUGUUGGGCAGGAGGGCGAGCUCACAGCCAUCUGCAGAACACCAAGGGCAAAUCUGGGAGGUGUGGCUACUGGAGCAACUUCAAAAGCAACUAUGUGUGUUUUGCCUUUGGGUAUGAGUGAGACUCUAGGUUGCAAGUGACAGAAAACCUAAUCAAACCAGCUCAACAGAAAAAUAAACAUUAGCUCAUGUAACU